AGCCACGAAGGUUUUCAAAGUGUAAAUGCAAGCUUCUGCGAGGAUUUUCCUCAGACCUCAUCCUGAGAACCUGCCAUGAAGGUUUUCAAAGCUGGUGACUGUGGCUAUUUCUUCUAAGCCUUACGUUGAAUAUCUCUGAAAGCUGGACCCAUUUUAGGAGCAUCUCUGAAGCAGAAGGAAGACUGGCUGGUCAUCCUCCAUCUGGGUGGUUCUCAGUGGUUGAGGGUGUGCCAAGACCAGACAGUAUCCCAAGCGAGGAUCCCAUUCGGUGCCUGGAUGAAGUCUGAUCGGAAGCCGGAUCCUCAGGCAGCAGCUGGGGACGAAUGUACUCACUCCUCUUCCAGUGAGAAACAAGGGAAUAGGCACUUUUGCUUGCCUUUCUGCACUGGGCCCUGGCGUAUAGCCAUGGCUGCUGCUGUGCCUGUUAAGAAAUGCUUCUUUGCACUGGGUGUUGUAU